rnacentral:lncRNA from 1 species
UGUAAGUGAAGUUAUCAUAAGUUCACAGAUUUCUUGUUGUAAACAAGAUAUACGCCGGGGUAUUCAAUGAAAUUUACAAUACUGCCGGCACAAGUUAAAAAAGACAAACAAGCAAUUUCUUAUCCAAAUGUUUGGUUGAUAUGUUUCACCCAACAAAAUUAAGGGAAGUGAGGGGUACCAAAUCAACCAAAGGCUAAGAAUGAGUCUGAAAUGACAACGAAUUUAUGAAUGACGGUCGACAAAUGGAGACAUAAAGGCCAC